CUGCCAUCAGCAGGGAUGUAUCUGGGGGAGAGUUUUGCCCCCCAGCCAUGUCAGGGGAGGGGCAUGUGAGCUGAGGCAUUGAGGAGCACUGGGUGCCACUGCUCCUUGACCCAGGACUCCCAGAAAUCCUCACCUGGCUCCAGCCCUCGCUGAUCAAAUCACCUGCUUCUGCCUUUAAAGGGGCAGGUGAGAGCAUCCCGGCACGGGUUGGAGGGUGAGACCAGCCGCAAUAAGGUGUAAGGAGAGUGAGCAGGGCGUGGCCGAGGCAGGAGCAGCGUCGGAUGCAGAGGAGGAACCCAGGGGCCAGUGACUCUCAGCCCUGUCUGGGGGAGGGUGAGCUGCAAGAGAUCCCCUUGGAGCAUCUUUGACCUGAGGAGCAGUUGGAUCAAACCACUGGGCCUGCUGGAGACCAGAGCAGGAUGAGGCCCCUUCUCCUUCUGUGCCUCUGUCUCCUCCUCUCUCCACCCCCGCUACCUCCUGCCCUCUCCGUCCCGCUUUGCACCAGGAGCAACGAGAUCUCGCAGCAGGAUAUCUAUAUCCCUGGUUUCAGCCUUGCUGCAGGGCAGGCCAGCCUAGCUCCAUCACCCCUGCAGGAGUAGGCUUUGAUCUCCCUCCAGGGAUCAGCCCGUGGGAGGGCUGACACAGGCACGACGUCCCCCGAGACGUGUCUUGCGCGGUGCCAGGAGUGCCUGCAACGUGGGGGGAUCCGGGACGGUGAGUCACUUCUCCCACCCGCCGUGCCCAGCCCAGCACCCCCUGGGCCUGAAGAGCAGGGAGCAAUU
rnacentral:lncRNA from 1 species